UACAGAGGGUGCGAGCGUUAAUCGGAAUUACUGGGCGUAAAGCGUGCGUAGACGGUUUCGUAAGUCGGGUGUGAAAUCCCCGGGCUUAACCUGGGAACUGCAUUUGUGACUGGCGGGCUAGAGUAUGGCAGAGGGGGGUAGAAUUCCACGUGUAGCAGUGAAAUGCGUAGAGAUGUGGAGGAACACCGAUGGCGAAGGCAGCCCCCUGGGCUAACACUGACGCUCAUGCACGAAAGCGUGGGGAGCAAACAGG
rnacentral:rRNA from 1 species